rnacentral:rRNA from 1 species
UGCCAGCANHMGCGGUUACACAUACACCUAUUAUAAAUUUAAAGUAAAAUGGUAAUAAUAAAAAAAGAGGAAAAUUAAAUUUUGGUUAAAUAGUAAAAAUUAUUUCUAAACCUCUAAACUAUAAAUCCAUGAAACUACCUAAUAGAACUAGGAUUAGAGACCCUAUUACUAACUAAUUUAAAAACAAAAUACUUGGGCAUUAUAAGAGACCUUAAAACCUAAAGAGCUUGGCGGUCCUCCAUUUUUUAAUAAGGGAGCUUGUUGUAUAAACGAUAAUCCGCGUUAAUUCUUACCUUUAAUCAAAUGUUUGUAUACCUCCGUCUAGUCAAUCCCCAAGAGUAAUGGCAAAAAGUAUAAAACUUAAAAAUUUAUACUUUUACAUCAGGUCAAGGUGCAGCAUAUAAAGGAAUUAAAUGAGCUACUAUGUUUACACUUGAAAGUUUUAACUAAAGAAAAACAGAAAAAGUACUUAUUAGUAAUUUUUUUUAAAAUAAAAAAAUGAAAUAAACCUGGAGGGCGUACAAAUCGCCCGUCAUUCCCUCCCCUAAGCGGGAAAAGUCGUAACACAGUA